GGCGCCGUCUCCUCCGCCGCUCGCCGCAGAUUGUCUCCCACUCGCUGGAACUAGCUCCAUUGCCUCCUUCUCCUCCUCCAAAUCACGACAUUUCUCUUCGGGGUAUCAGGAUCUUCCUAGGAGGGAUGGCGACGGGAUUAGCGCGGUGGUCUCCGGUGGCUUGGCCACGGCCGGGCACGGUUGGAUGGAUCUACGGAGCCAGCGGCGGAGGGGAAUCGGUGGCUCCAGAGCUUCUGGCAACCGAUGCACCGGAGUUCGGACCAAGCCUUUUGGAAGAUAAGGAUUCCCUUCAUAUCCUUCAGAGCAUUUGCACAGGGAGAUGUUGAUGACCUCCAUUGUUGUUGUCAUGUCUCUGAGCAUGGGCCGUGGUGGCUGGAAGGUGUCGUUGCAGGUGAUGGUGAAGUAGCUGCUCAGGGCACAGCCAGCACCGAUGCCAAAAGGGUAAGGGAUGGAUACAUCGCCGCAUUUGUCAGGGCAUCCUGGCAAUGAUAUUGCAGGUUCAGAGGUGGUGGUAGGCAUCGCCAUCGCGUGGAAGACAAUGAGGAUGAGGAGAACUGAUGCUGAUGCUUCUUGCAUGGCUGCAGAGUUGAGAGGUAUGGUGAUCACUUGCUAGUUGCUAUGGCACUAUUUCUGAACCUACUAGUUCAUGCUUCUGCAUCUUCCAUGUCUAUUUAUAAUGUGAUUACUGGAGUACUAGGUUGGGGCAGGUAACACUAGUUUAUGCUUCUGCAACUCCCAUGUCUCUUUAUCAUGGGAUUAACUAUACUACACUUGGACAAGUAAUGCUACUUCAUGCUUAUGCAACUUCCAUGUCUUGUAAUUUUGUGAUUAUUUAUACUAGAUUGGGACAGGCAAUAGGGUUUUAAGGAAGUAAGGUCAGCUCAGUUAUUCCAUUGCAGAUGUAGUUUUUAUAGUGCUGACAAACUGGAUAUUGUUACAUAUGAGUUUGAUUUCAACAACCGUCACUUAACUAGCUUUGGUGAG